ACGGGUCCAGGUAUUUAAGUU
rnacentral:miRNA from 1 species